AUUAAGCCAUGCAUGUCUCAGUACAAGCCAAAUUAAGGUGAAACCGCGAAAGGCUCAUUAAAUCAGUUAUGGUUCCUUAGAUCGUACCCACAAUUACUUGGAUAACUGUGGUAAUUCUAGAGCUAAUACAUGCAAACAGAGCUCCGACCGGAGACGGAAGGAGUGCUUUUAUUAGAUCAAAACCAAUCGGUGGCGGGUUCGCUCGUUAUCGUACAACUUGGUGACUCUGAAUAACUUUACGCUGAUCGCACGGUCAUCGCACCGGCGACGCAUCUUUCAAAUGUCUGCCUUAUCAACUGUCGAUGGUAGGUUCUGCGCCUACCAUGGUUGUAACGGGUAACGGGGAAUCAGGGUUCGAUUCCGGAGAGGGAGCCUGAGAAACGGCUACCACAUCCAAGGAAGGCAGCAGGCGCGCAAAUUACCCACUCCCGGCACGGGGAGGUAGUGACGAAAAAUAACGAUACGGGACUCAUCCGAGGCCCCGUAAUCGGAAUGAGUACACUCUAAACCCUUUAACGAGGAUCAAUUGGAGGGCAAGUCUGGUGCCAGCAGCCGCGG
rnacentral:rRNA from 1 species